GCAAAAAGCAGAACGAGAGACCCAAAAAAAGCUGAAAACAUGAACUUUUUUCACUCUUCAGUCCAGCCGCUGCUCUUAAAGAUGCGAGGAGAGCAAGGGGGGAAAUAAAAAAGGGAAAAGGGGAAAAAAUGAGCGGGGCUGGGGAGGCUCGCACCCAAUGCUCAGCCCCUCCCCGAAACACCUCCCCAAAACGCCUCUCCCUCCCCAAAAUGCCUCCCCGAAACGCCUCCGCCUCCCCAAAAUGCCUCCCCCUCCCCCAAAUUCCCCUCUUUUUCUCCCCCCCUGCCCCGCAGGUUCUGCCUGUGCGAGACCAGCUGUCCCCAGGAGGAUUAUUUCCCUCCCAAUUUGUUCGUCAAGGUCAACGGCAAGCUCUGCCCCCUGCCCGGCUACCUCCCACCCACGAAGAACGGCGCCGAGCCCAAGCGCCCCAGCCGCCCCGUCAACAUCACGCCCCUGGCGCGGCUCUCGGCCACCGUCCCCAACACCAUCGUGGUCAACUGGUCGGCGGAGUUCGGCCGGCACUACUCGCUGUCGGUGUACCUGGUGAAGCAGCUGACCUCGGUGACUCUGCUGCAGAAGCUGCGCGCCAAGGGCAUCCGCAACCCCGACCACUCGCGAGCCCUCAGUAAGUGCCCUGGGGGGG
rnacentral:lncRNA from 1 species